rnacentral:rRNA from 1 species
UACGGAGGGUGCAAGCGUUGUCCGGAUUUAUUGGGUUUAAAGGGUGCGUAGGUGGCUUUUUAAGUCUGGGGUGAAAGGCAGUGGCUCAACCACAUGCAGGGCCCUGGAUACUGGAAGGCUCGAGUACGGGUGAGGCCGGUGGAACGGGUGGUGUAGCGGUGAAAUGCAUAGAUACCAGGAGGAACACCGGUGGCGAAGGCGGGUCUCUGGGCCGAUACUGACGCUGAGGAGCGAAAGCGUGGGGAGCGAACAGG